UACGUAGGUGGCAAGCGUUGUCCGGAUUUACUGGGCGUAAAGGGAGCGUAGGCGGACUUUUAAGUGAGAUGUGAAAUACCCGGGCUUAACCUGGGUGCUGCAUUUCAAACUGGAAGUCUAGAGUGCAGGAGAGGAGAGUGGAAUUCCUAGUGUAGCGGUGAAAUGCGUAGAGAUUAGGAAGAACACCAGUGGCGAAGGCGACUCUCUGGACUGUAACUGACGCUGAGGCUCGAAAGCGUGGGGAGCAAACAGGAUUAGAAACCCCCGUAGUCC
rnacentral:rRNA from 1 species